GAGGGUACAGCUCAGUGGUAGAGCGCAUGCUUAGCAUGCAUGAGGUCCUGGGUUCAAUCCCCAGUACCUCCU
rfam:Camelus ferus unplaced genomic scaffold scaffold1891, whole genome shotgun sequence.